rnacentral:misc_RNA from 1 species
UUAUGGUAACUGUAAAUGCCGCAUGUUGAGUAUUGUAGUUGAUUUUAUGAUAUUAUCUGAUAUAUACUGUUUUCUAUUUUGAGUUGGCCGAUGAUAUCUACUCAGUACCCGUGUUUUGUACUGACCCCUACUUGUAUGUUUUCUUUCCUUGUUAUUUGUGGAGUGCAGCAAACGUGCCGUCGUCUUCAACUCAACCACAACUCUAGCAAGUCUUCAUUACACCGGAUUUCAG